UACGUAGGGGGCAAGCGUUGUCCGGAAUCAUUGGGCGUAAAGCGCGCGUAGGCGGCUCGGUAAGUCUGUUCUGAAAGUCCAAGGCUCAACCUUGGGAUGCGGAUGGAUACUGCCGAGCUCGAGUCCGGAAGAGGCGAGUGGAAUUCCUGGUGUAGCGGUGAAAUGCGCAGAUAUCAGGAGGAACACCAAUGGCGAAGGCAGCUCGCUGGGACGUGACUGACGCUGAGGAGCGAAAGCCAGGGGAGCAAACGGG
rnacentral:rRNA from 1 species